rnacentral:ncRNA from 1 species
AAUUUUGAAAAUUUUUUACCUCAGUUCGGUAUGUUCCAGCGAUGGAAUUUUGUUUAAAGUUCGCCCGUGUAACCACGGUCAGACUUGCAUCACAUGUACAAAUUUUAAUGCAUAACUUACCACUGGAAGUGGGAAAAAACUUAGAAAAUUUUUCACAAACUUUGAAAAUUUUUUACCUCAGUUCGGUAUGUUCCAGCGAUGGAAUUUUGUUUAAAGUUCGCCCGUGUAACCACGGUCAGACUUGCAUCACAUGUACAAAUUUUAAUGCAUAACUUACCACUGGAAGUGGGAUCCCUCGCGAGGUGCCGCGGGUCAGCGGCUGACGCCAGCCACCUUCCCGACCCGUCUUGAAACACGGACCAAGGAGUCUAACAUGUGCGCGAGCCGCGGGGCAGUACGAAACCCGUAAGGCGAAAUGAAGGUGAACGCCGGCGCGGUCCGGCGGAGGUUGGAUCCCGUCCCGUCGGGGCGGGCGCACUACCGGCCGAUCUUCUCCGCCCUGUCGGCGAGGUCGAGCGAGAGCGUGCAAGUCGGGACCCGAAAGAUGGUGAACUAUGCCUGAAG